AUGUUGAUUCAUUUCCGUUUCGGCGAGAAUUUGGCACUAUGCAUUCUUUUUGGUCCUAUUUUUAGGCAAAGUCAUGCCAAUUUUUUUCUUGGUUCUAAAAUAUCGUUUUGCUCUACCCCGCAGGCGACCAUGGUCCGCGCGAUGACCGAAGGCAUCGUGAAUAGGAUUUUGAGCUCCGCGAAGGCCAAGAUGCUUCAAAAGAGCGAGACGGAUAUAAGAUGUCCGUGUCGAAGAUGCAAACUGAGGAGCCUUAUGGACCCGGAUUCCGUACAGGUGCGGGACCAUCCGCUCUUGCAUGGUUUCAUGGAUGGCUAUCAGUGGCAAGGUGAUGAAGAUGAUUAUGAAGUCGUCCAUGGGGGCGGGCAAGAAAUGAGGAAGGGCAGCAAGACAACCGUGGUAAGGGCGGGCGAGAAGACGAAGAAUCUCCAGGACAUGAUCACGAAGUAG
rnacentral:rRNA from 1 species